rnacentral:rRNA from 1 species
CCUACGGGAGGCAGCAGUGAGGAAUAUUGGUCAAUGGGCGCAAGCCUGAACCAGCAAAGUCGCGUGAAGGAUGAAGGCUCUAUGGAUCGUAAACUUCUUUUAUAUGGGAAUAAAGUGUAGGAUGUCUCCUGCUUUAGAUGUACCUUAUGAAUAAGGAUCGGCUAACUCCGUGCCAGCAGCCGCGGUAAUACGGAGGAUCCGAGCGUUAUCCGGAUUUAUUGGGUUUAAAGGGUGCGUAGGCGGGCUGUUAAGUCAGAGGUGAAAGUCUGUGGCUCAACCCUAGAAUUGCAGUUGAAACUGGGGGUCUUGAGUACGGUAGAGGCAGGCGGAAUGCGUGGUGUAGCGGUGAAAUGCGUAGAUAUAACGAAGAACCCCGAUGGCGAAGGCAGCUUACUGGACUGUAACUGACGCUGAGGCACGAAAGCGUGGGGAUCAAACAGGAUUAGAUACCCUGGUAGUC